UACGUAGGGUGCAAGCGUUGUCCGGAAUUAUUGGGCGUAAAGAGCUCGUAGGCGGUCUGUCGCGUCGGCUGUGAAAUCCCGAGGCUCAACCUCGGGUCUGCAGUCGAUACGGGCAAACUAGAGUGCGGUAGGGGAGAUCGGAAUUCCUGGUGUAGCGGUGAAAUGCGCAGAUAUCAGGAGGAACACCGGUGGCGAAGGCGGAUCUCUGGGCCGUAACUGACGCUGAGGAGCGAAAGCAUGGGUAGCGAACAGG
rnacentral:rRNA from 1 species